rnacentral:snRNA from 1 species
AGGUGAGGGAUCUGGCUGAGACAUCUGUCAUCCCAUUGAUCAUCAGGGCUGAUUGGGUGGCUGAAUGGCAAUGUGUGUCCCCUUCCUCCUGNGCCAUCCCAUAUGUGUCCUUCUCAAAGCUUUGCCCUCAGUCAACAAGGAUGAUGACUUUUCCCAGUAGAGGAUGGCUUGGUCAAG